ACUGAGACGGAAAUAAUGUUCUUUGCUGACUUUUUCAGACGGAUUUUCUUUGUUUAGCUAUUUGCUCUUACCUUUAAAAAAAGAGAGAGAGCUUAUUCUGCAGAAAGUAGCAAUCCUUGCCUUGCCAAGAUUUCUGUUCCUUUCAGCACUUCGUGAAAGAUCUGGAUAAAGGAGAUGGAGGCAUGAUGGAAUUAGAAGGAUGAAAUCGGCACCUCGUGGUGGAAAGCUGAAGGAUAUUACAAGCAAGGAUUAAGUCGAAACAGAAGACUGCACCGGAGCUAAAGGCAUCCUGUGCUUGCUCCAGAUGGCAUCUCUUGGCCGGCCAAGCUCACAUCAUGUUCUCUCCAAGGAGGACAGGAAGAGCACAAUGUAAUUUUGGCAUCCUGGCAAAUGAAGAUCACGCCCGUGAAAGCAAAUCCCCUUUAAUUAUUGCCACGAAGCACUAGGGCGCCAUCAAGGCUGUGCGCAAACUGCUUUUUUGUCCCAAAGGGCAUGAAGAAAUAAAUGCUUUCUGUUCAAAAGCCCUUCCCACCCACCUCUCCUCCCCACCCAGCUGAAAAUGUCCCUUGCAGUUCUGGUUUCGAAGCACGGCAGGAUGGUGAUACGGUGCGUACUGCUGGCCGACAAUUGCCAGCAAACGCUGAAAUGUUAUUUGUGGCUGUUGUAAUGGGAAUAACAAAAUCUUGCUGGCUUUAACUGGUUCUAAAUUGUGCGGACGCUGCGUGGCUGUGUCGUCCAGGGACGUGCACAGCGGAGCUGAUGAAACUGUACGGGGAGUCUGAAGAGAAGAGCGUGAUACUUGGAGCAUUUCUGUUUUGCAUGUGUGGGGGGAGCCUCUUGUCCCUGCCGCCGGCAAGGUGACGGAUGCCUCUGCACCAAUACCAAUAAAAAAAAGUCUGAGAAAAACCAAGCUAGCUCCUAGCAGCUCUUGCUCUUUGCUCCCAACCCAGCUCUCAUGUGCCCGCAAGCUCAGCUGGCUCUCCUGAGUGCUGGGCACC